rnacentral:rRNA from 1 species
AUUGAACGCUGGCGGCAGGCCUAACACAUGCAAGUCGAAUGGUAACAGGAAACAGCUUGCUGUUUCGCUGACGAGUGGCGGACGGGUGAGUAAUGUCUGGGAAACUGCCUGAUGGAGGGGGAUAACUACUGGAAACGGUAGCUAAUACCGCAUAACGUCGCAAGACCAAAGAGGGGGACCUUCGGGCCUCUUGCCAUCAGAUGUGCCCAGAUGGGAUUAGCUAGUAGGUGGGGUAACGGCUCACCUAGGCGACGAUCCGUAGCUGGUCUGAGAGGAUGACCAGCCACACUGGAACUGAGACACGGUCCAGACUCCUACGGGAGGCAGCAGUGGGGAAUAUUGCACAAUGGGCGCAAGCCUGAUGCAGCCAUGCCGCGUGUAUGAAGAAGGCCUUCGGGUUGUAAAGUACUUUCAGCGGGGAGGAAGGGAGUAAAGUUAAUACCUUUGCUCAUUGACGUUACCCGCAGAAGAAGCACCGGCUAACUCCGUG